rnacentral:lncRNA from 1 species
UGUAGAUUGCUGAGGAUUUUUUUAAAUUUAAUACAUUUUAGAAUAAGGCUGUGACGUAACAAAAUGUGGAAAAAGUCAAGGGGUCUGAAUACAUUCCGAAGGCACUGUGUGUGUUAUAUAUAUAUAUACACACAGCAUAUAUAUAUAAUACCUGUAUCUUGUUAAUUUUUCAUAAAGUAGAAAUAGAUAUGCCUACGGUGGUGACAUUUUUUUAUUGUAUCUUUAGAUUGAUUGUCAGUAUCUGGUGUGGCCACCAGCUGCAUUAAGUACUGCAGUGCAUCUCCUCCUCAUGGACGCACCAGAUUUAACGUUUCUUGCUGUGAGAUGUUACCCCACUCUUCCACUAAGGCACCUGCAAGUUUCCGGACAUUUCUGGGGGGAAUGGCCCUAGCCGUCACCCUCCGAUACAACAGGUGCCAGACGUGCUCAAUAGGAUUGAGAUUCGGGCUCUUCACUGGCCUUGGCAGAACACUAGGUCCCGUGUGGCUCUGUUGAUGCCAUACUAACCCUGAAUCAGAUCACCAUCCUAUCCAUGCUGGAUUACGGAAACAUAAUUUAUAGAUCGGCAGUCUGUGUGUGUGGCAGAGGUAACUUUCUAGAGUUCACUGGGAUGUUGCUGCUCUUCUUUGGUGGAUAGAGCAUGCAUGCAUGUCAGACUCUUCGAUGAGUACCGGGCUCCUAAAAUAAACGGCCUCAUCAUAUGGCCCAGGAGACUGUCCUGAUGGUGCUGAGAAGACGCCCUGCAGGCAGGGACCCACUGGAGACUCCUGAAAGACAUCUACCCAAUUAACAUUCAGCGUACAGCCCAAUGCUACAGGCAGCCAACACUUUCAAAGCAACAUGAUUUCCAUCAACAACAAGGAGAGGUACUCUAACUGUGGUGCCACUACCAACAACAGAAGGACACCAUGCAUGUCCAGACAUGUUAGCAUCCACAGCUUGGAGAUUGUGUAUAGAAACCUGAGAUCAAACUGAGGGGAGGAGAGAAGCACGUGCACUCCAUACCUGAACUUGUCUGGACCCUCAGUAGCAGUGCCAAGGAGAGGUCUAUGCCAGGCUCAGAAAAACAGAACACUGACGCAAAGCUGACUGGCCCGGAACCACUCCUGGCUUCUCACAGCUUCACAUCCCAUAAUGACUGUGAAAACGCUCUGUCACCUUUCGUGAGUCACACAUGGUGUCAAAGCUUUUAGGACGUCACUCCCAGGCAUCAGUGCGUAUCACAUGGAUUAAGGCAACUAGUGAAGAAACACUGGAGGCAGGACAAAUAGCAGCAACGUUUGUUCUGUCUGUUGUUCAGAGUGUCUGCAAGCUCAAACAUGUCCACACUCAACUUUUAUGUUCAACAGAAAAUCCUAUCUGAGGUAGAGAGAUUGGGAGUUUGUUUUGCUACAGUGAAUGAAAAGCAGUGGUGGUCGGUACCAUUUAAGAUGAGGGAGGAUGAUAGAAAUAAGGCCAUGCUCAUACAUUUUUCUAUUACAGCAUAUUGGAUGACUGUCAUUCAUAUUCCAUUCACCCAGCUCAAUAUAACAUUGAUAGGUAUAGACUACUACUUGAUACUUGAAUUUUCCCUAUACCAAUCACGAGGUUGCUACAACCUAGCCUAUGAAUGAACGUUUACAAUGUAGGUGCACAGGUCGAGAGAAAUUUUAGUAAUCAAGUUGACAGACAUUGACACAUUCAAUAGCGCCUUGCUUGCAUCUGGCUGAUCUAGGUUGUAAUCAUUAGUCCAACAGUUACAAACAAGAGUUUAUAUUGGACAAAUGCAGGUAUGUUUGAACACCAAGGUACACCUGUUUCAUUCCGUUUGCUUCAGUUUAAAAAAAAAAAAAAAAAUUCAAUAGAAUCGGCGGAAUGUAUACACCCUAAUCACACGCAAACACAUUUCACUUUCAUAGCAGCCACAUACAAACUGCUUUUAUAAUUUCUUCUCAAAUAUACGCGCACUCCUCAUCUCACUUUUUCCCCUUUUUCCCUUCGCACAGACAGAGCUGUCUGUGACUAAGCCAAACCUUCCUAUUAUAACUGCUAACUACUACACACAGCCUACAUCAUUGUCACCAUAUUAACGUCAUAGUCAACAUAGCUACUAGAACUAACGUGUUAGUAAACCCGCUACAAUCAUGCAGUACAGUCAGCAGCAAGCAGUUUAGUAGUUACACCGGUGGGCCCCGAUGGCAAUAAAUUAAUAAAACCAAAAGCUUACCUUGACUUGGAAGAGUUCCAGUGUUCGAUAUCCAUAGCCUGCUAGCUAACAUAGCCUCCCUCUCGGUUUGAGUCGGGUGUUUGAGUAGGCUCAACUAGCUAACUGCCUUCGCUAGCUAAGUAAGUGAACGUUUAAAAAAAAUCUCUUUCUCUCUUGCUUCUCCUUCAUUUUUUAAGAAAUGAAUUUGUUUAAACUGUUCAACUAUUAUAACUAUUCUCUUUCUCUCUCUUUGACUCAACUACUCACUACAUUUUAUGCACUGCAGUGCUAGCUAGCUGUAGCUUAUGCUUUCAGUACGAGAUUCAUUCUUUAAUUCUUUGAUUGGGUGGACAACGUCAGUUCAUGCUGCAAGAGCUCUGAUAGGUUGGAGGAUGUCCUCUGGAAGUUGUCAUAAUUAAUGUCUAUGAAGUCUAUGGAAGGGAUGACCCUCCUAGGUUUUGUAUUGAAGUCCAUGUACCCAGAGGAGGACGGAAACUUCGACUACACCAUGGUGCUACCCUACAGAGUGCUGUUGAGGCUACUGUCAUUGUAAAACAGUGUGUUUUAAUAAAUUAUUUGGUGAUGUGAUUAUAUUUAGUAUAGUUUUGUCUAAACUUUUUAAAAGUUUCACUAUUUUUAUGAAAAUCGUUGAGCAGGAUGGUCCUCCCCUUCUUCCUCUGAGGAGCCUCCCAAUGAAAAAAGUAUGGCUGGCAUAUUUUGAUAGCUGUAUUGAUGAUAAACAAUACCACAGUUCUAUAGUUCAAAUCCAAUGGAUUUUUAUGAGCGUGUUUACUCAACAUCCUGCCAUUUCUUGCUUAUUAAUGCAUAGGCUAUUAGCUGUAACAAAGCCAGCAUAUCAUUAUUCACACUUCACAAAGCCCAUCACAGGUAGCUUUCAUGUGUACAGCAUGUCCUUGUUUUGUAGGUAUCCAGCUACAAUGUGACCUUAACAGGAAUGAGGAUAGGAUAUUUAAAGGGAGAUCUUCAACUGUUCCCCAUUGUGCCAAUUAUUUUGCUCCUUUUCUGUAAUAGCCUUGCCACUGUUCUCUCUCACCUCCCUCCCUCUCUCGAUUCCUCACACACACAAGCACAAACGCACACAUACACAAUUUGAGAGUAGAGUUUUAAAACGAUUAAAACCUGUUGGGGACCCUUUUGAGAUAGGAUCCCGUUAACGGGAUUGCUUGACAAGAUAGCAUGGCGCAAAAUUCAAAACAGCAAAAAUCGAAUAAUUUCAAUUUUUCAAACAUACGACUAUUUUACACCAUUUUAAAGAUACACUUCUCCUUGAUGUAACCACAUUGUCCGAUUUCAAAAAGGCUUUACAGCGAAAGCAAAACAUUAGAUUAUGUUAGGAGAGUACAUAUACAAAAAUAAUCACACAGCCAUUUUCCAAGCAAGCAUAUAUGUCAAUAAAACCCAAAACACAGCUAAAUGAAGGACUAACCUUUGAUGAUCUUCAUCAGAUGACACUCCUAGGACAUUAUGUUACACAAUGCAUGUAUGUUUUGUUCGAUAAAGUUCAUAUUUAUAUCCAAAAACAGCAUUUUACAUUGGCGCGUGACGUUCAGAAAAUGUUUAGCCUCCAGAACUACCGGUGAAUGAGAACAAUGAGCACACAUAUUACAGAGA